AUCCUUUUGUAGUUCAUAAGUGUGAUGAAUGGGUGUGAGAUGUACCUCCCUUAAGCCUUGUUCUGACCACAUCACCAGAUUACUGAUG
ensembl:snoRNA